rnacentral:rRNA from 1 species
CUUGUUGGUGAGGUAAUGGCUCACCAAGGCGACGACGGGUAGCCGGCCUGAGAGGGCGACCGGCCACACUGGAACUGAGACACGGUCCAGACUCCUACGGGAGGCAGCAGUGGGGAAUAUUGCACAAUGGGCGCAAGCCUGAUGCAGCGACGCCGCGUGGGGGAUGGAGGCCUUCGGGUUGUAAACCCCUUUUAGCAGGGAAGAAGCGAAAGUGACGGUACCUGCAGAAAAAGCGCCGGCUAACUACGUGCCAGCAGCCGCGGUAAUACGUAGGGCGCAAGCGUUGUCCGGAAUUAUUGGGCGUAAAGAGCUCGUAGGCGGUUUGUCGCGUCUGCUGUGAAAUUUCGAGGCUCAACCUCGAACUUGCGGUGGGUACGGGCAGACUAGAGUGUGGUAGGGGAGACUGGAAUUCCUGGUGUAGCGGUGGAAUGCGCAGAUAUCAGGAGGAACACCAAUGGCGAAGGCAGGUCUCUGGGCCACAACUGACGCUGAGGAGCGAAAGCAUGGGGAGCGAACAGGAUUAGAUACCCUGGUAGUCCAUGCCGUAAACGUUGGGCACUAGAUGUGGGUCUCUUUCCAUGAGAUCCGCGUCGCAGCUAACGCAUUAAGUGCCCCGCCUGGGGAGUACGGAAU